CCGAAGAGGCGGAGGGGAGAGGACGCGGGAAGCCAGUGUGCUCCGGACGCAGUGUCCUAGUGCUCGAUUGGGUCAUCCUCUGCAGCGCUGAUUGUCCCUGUCCAAGACUGCGGAAUGAAGAAUCCAGGCUGGGAGCCGGUUGAAGCCCCGACUCCGUCCUCAGUCCUCUUUCCCUACCAAGGAUGGCUUCAGGCUCCCGAAGUUGGCGGGUUUGGACUUUUAUCUCUUUUUUUUGCUUUGAGAACCUGUGUGUAAGCCCUCUCUGGUCAGCAAAGGAAUCUGUGCCGAGCGCCAUGAAUUAGAGGAUGGAGGAAUGAGUGCUUGAAGAUGCCCGAGGUCCAGGUGAGAAAUCAGGGUUGAAAACUGCAUGGAGGAUUCAUCAUUUCUGCCCUGAAUUGGAAUCAAUUUCUUAUUGACUUAUUAUUACUGUAUUAAAAGUGUUUUUAAUUAACCAUGG